GUGCUAAAGUGCUGAUGCCUAAAAUAGGCUAAAUCUCCCGGUCUGGCAGUCUGUGGAGGUCUGUGCAAAAGCUGCAACAAGUAUGGACCAAGUGAUUCACCGUCAGCUGCUUCAGAUUCCCGUGUCGAUAUCUGCUCAACGCGUUUCGUCUAUUUGUGUUCAGACUUCUUCAGGAGCGUGUCCGGAACCUUCUCAAUUCGGCAUUUAAAAAUGCUGGGUGACGUCCUUUCUGUGCAAUUGCGCAUGCGCGACCGGGCGCCGACAUGAUGACAUACCCUCCGCCAGCGUCCGUCGCGCAUGUGCGCUCCACUGUGGAACGCAAGCAAAAAAACUUUAUUGUUCUAAGCACCAGGGACAGUAUUGGGACUCAUGAAAAAAGAACCAAUAUGUGCCCCAAUGCUACAAUAUAUUGGGUGCACAUAUAGAGAGUGUUCCAA